rnacentral:rRNA from 1 species
AGCGAACGCUGGCGGCAGGCUUAACACAUGCAAGUCGAACGGGCGUAGCAAUACGUCAGUGGCAGACGGGUGAGUAACGCGUGGGAACGUACCUUUUGGUUCGGAACAACUGAGGGAAACUUCAGCUAAUACCGAAUAAGCCCUUACGGGGAAAGAUUUAUCGCCGAAAGAUCGGCCCGCGUCUGAUUAGCUUGUUGGUGAGGUAACGGCUCACCAAGGCGACGAUCAGUAGCUGGUCUGAGAGGAUGAUCAGCCACAUUGGGACUGAGACACGGCCCAAACUCCUACGGGAGGCAGCAGUGGGGAAUAUUGGACAAUGGGCGAAAGCCUGAUCCAGCCAUGCCGCGUGAGUGAUGAAGGCCCUAGGGUUGUAAAGCUCUUUUGUGCGGGAAGAUAAUGAC